UGUGUAUCUUGUCAUAUUCUGGUUAUUGCACAAUUAAUAUUAGAACCAAAGGAACUAGAGAUCAUUUCUGAAAGCUGAACAUAUAUGAGAGGAAACUAAAACGCAGGGCCAAUUAAGAUAUUUUAAUGAAAACAGCAACAACUCUAAAACCAUCUCUGGACUAAGUCUCUUCUGCACUGUGGGCGUGUCCAGAGAGACUGCUGAGUCAGGCUUUAUUGAGCACCUGUGAGCAGCAGCAAGUCUGGGAGGCAGGCCCAGACCCGUCUCCUGCUGGAGCCCGGCUGAGCUCCGGGUGCCCUGCGCAGCCAGCUUGCCUUUAAUUCCGGCCUCGGCUUCAGAGUGAUAAGGAAGCAGCAGUGCUUGGAUGCCGACAGGGUUUGCCAAGAACAAACCUCUUCAGACACACUGAUUUCGGAUUUUGUAUUAAUAAGACUAGGCAGAUUAGAAGACUACAGUAGGCAGAAUAUCUGAGCCCUAAUAAAGAAUUUAACAGGGUCUUUAAUGAAAUAUGUCUGGGCAAAAUGGAGAAGUCCUUAGUACAGCUGGUGGGGUGUCGCCACUUGAAUGGUGCUAAUUAAAGGCACAGUAGCACCUAGACGAUCCUGCUGCAAAGCUUGCCUUUUGGCCCCAUCUGUUCAGCAUUUUAAUGAAUAACUUGACUAAAGCUACAAAAGGCAAGUUUAUUAAAAAUGUGUGUGUCCUAAGGCUGAGAAAGAAUGAUUAUACUAAAUGACAGAAUUUAAAAAAUCUAAACAGGCAGAAAAAUGGGGCAGAUGAACUAUGUAAGAUUGUAAAAUCUUACACUGCAGUUAUUAAAAAAAAAUGUGCAAGGUCAAGAUAGACCCUGGUGCUGCCUCGUGUAGCAAACACCGGGGAAAGAAAGCCUGCGGCCCCCGUCCCAGCAAACUGGGUGCCAGAGCUUGGGCCUGGGGGUCUUGGGGUCCCGUCUCCCCAGCAGCCUGUGUGGAGACAGCGUGGUUCCUAAGACGCUGCCCUAACCUGGAGGCAGCCCGGCAGAAACUGCCCUGAGACUUGGGAGCUGACAGAAAAAACGGUGUAAAUGCAGCAGGUGGGAGGGCAGAAACAUGAGCGGUGAAGCGAGAGGAGCCAGGGGCGCCGAUGAGCUGGGGGCGGCCGCCCCGCAGACCAGGCCGCUGGUUUAGAGCCUUUCAGUGAGUCGCACCUAGGAGAGAACGGGAACCAGGCUGUAGCAACCCAAGGAGAGCGGUGUCCAGGGUGGUGAGUGAGCCUCCAGGAGGAGACACAACAGCGCACCCAGAGCUUUCCAGGCAAAGCUGCCUCGAUGGACUGGUCCUCCGCCCUCAGAAUGUGCUGGACAGCUCUCCUUUGGGCGAGCCAAGCAGAGUGUCUCAUGGGGCAAACGGCCCAAGGGGAUUCUUGAAGAAGCUGCUGCCCACUGCGUGCUGUGACCACCGUGGGCUGUAGGAGCCGACACUGAGGAGCCACCCGUCCUGCCCCGAUGGAGCCACCCCGGAGCCAGGCAUCCGCGGAAC
ensembl:lncRNA